ensembl:lncRNA
GGCUCCCCGGGGGCCGCCCAGAGCAAGCCCCCUCUAGCCAAUGCCCCCGGAGCCGUGCCACCGCCCCGAAACCCAGCCCUAGGUCCCAGCAGCCACCAAGCCCCAGGCAGGCCACGCAGCCUCUCCCAGCCUCAGUUUCCCCAUUGGUACCCGGGCUGGGGUCUCAGCUCCGGCCACUCGGGGCUGCCGUGAUGACACAGUGAGGGACGCUCAGCCUGGCCACGAUGAGGGCCCAUCACCACACCCCACCCAGACUGCCACAAACCCACGGGUCUCACCCGCGCAAAUCCCGCACAGAGAGGAGCGGCCACCCAAGCCGGGUCUGUGGGCCUGAGGCUCUAACAGGGGCGCUUCCACCUGGAGAUUGAUUAGACCCAGCGGGCCUCUUCUGCAGGCACCAGGCUGUGGCCGCGUGGCCAGCCAGUCCGCCCGGGGUCUCUCCUUUGGACCUUUAUGUGGCCCAGAACUGAGGCGAUGACCACCCGGCUGUCCCCCUGCAGGGUGGGCCAGCAGGCUGUGAGUGUGGGCAGGGUCCCCGGGCAAGCAGAGCCAGCUCUGGGGGCAGAAGGGACGGCGUGCAGGGACCGAGGCCGGGCCGCCGCGGCCGGAGUUUGCUCAGGGGCCCCGGGGCGUCUGCCCUGGCUUCCAGGCCUUCCCGCGGAUGGAGCUCCCACUGCACCCCGGCUGCCUGGAGUGCGUUUUGUUUCAACACCGCUUUAUGGUUGCACGAGAUGGCCGUGCCCAGGGCACAGGCACAAGAGGGGGAGCGGGAGGGAAGCGGCAGGAGGAGCCCGCUAGUCCUCGGGCUCCGGGCUCACGCACACAGCCACGUGACCAGCUCACCAGCUGAUGCCAGAGACAAAGCAGGUAGGAUUCCAAUGCCACGCGCCUGACCCAGAACACCGGGAAUUCCAUUCCAGAAACCGCGUGGCACGGCUGCCAACAGCCUGGGCCCGGGAGGAGAGGGUCUCCCAUGCUCCAUGGGGGAAGCCACGGAAAACUGCAGGCGGUCGGGGGCGGGGGGCGCCACCCCAACAAGGCAGAGGAGGCAGAACCUGGGUUAGGGCGCCCCUCCCCCACCUGGCACACACACCACCCCCAGAAGUGCCCAGCUGGCCACCCAGGAGAUCAAGGCCUCCAUCCCCAAGGCCUGCGGGUCCGCAUGGGGCUCAAGACCCAAGAGAGCAGCCAGGUCCAAACCAGGCCCUUCCGGGAGGGAGCCCAGUGCCACGAGGUUUGGCAACAUCGCGGCCAUGCUGAGGCCAGCACCUGCGUGUCCGAUGCCUGCUCACACCUGCGUGGAGCCCAGGGCUGUGAUGUGCCGUGCAGCCCACCAGAGCACCUCUCACAGUUCGGAGAACAUCCAUCCGGCAGGAACCCUAGGCCAGGCCUGUCCAGCCGAGGAGGGUGUUGGGCCUACGUGUGGCUUCGCCAAUACGCCAGACUCUGAUAAGCUGCCGGCAGAUUCCAAGUUCAUCGGACAACGCGAUCUGGGGAGGAGCAAGGGACGCUGGAGAAUCACAAAUACUGUCCAAGACUGGCUCUUGGUGGCUUUCCUUUCACCCCCACCCCCGUGAGGACCCUUCUUCCUCCAGUCCGCUUCCGUCCUGCGACCCACCCCCCAGCAGACAACGGCCAGCCAGGCUUGGCCCCAGCGAGGCUGCAUCUAGCCCACGGUCCAAAGCCUGGCUGCCUUUCUGCUAUGUGCCAACAGGCCCCUGCAAGCGGCCUUUCAGAAGAAAUCACAGAGGGGGAGAAAAUGAACUUGUGAAAGUUUAAACGCCAAUCAGUAAAGAAAGCCAGACAUUCCCACUGAAAUUCCCCAAGAAUCACAGGUCAAGGAACUCUUUUUUUUCUUUUUUUUUCUUUUUCUGUACAUCUUGUCCCUGACUGAGUUCUCAGGGCCUGCGAUGCUGAGCCACCGGGACACCAGUCGGCCCUGAAAAUAAAUAUUUCAUAUAAAAGGUCCAUUGUCUUUGCUGGGAGACAAUUGUUGCUUUUUCUCUCCUCGGCUCCGUAACAUCAGCAAGCAGGGCCGAUGCCAUCUGGGGUUCUUUCUUGUUCCGACAAGAUGUUUUGAGAAAGGGCAAUCUUGCUGGGUCUUCCCGGAUGACCAGUUAAGAGAUAAAGCUCUCUUAAAGCAAGCAUCUUGGUAAAGGC